rnacentral:rRNA from 1 species
UAGGGAAUAUUGGGCAAUGGAUGCAAGUCUGACCCAGCCAUGCCGCGUGCCGGAUGAAGGCCCUCAGGGUUGUCAACGGCUUUUAUUCGGGAAGAAGAGCACGGAUGCUUCUGUGUGUGACGGUAUCGAAUGAAUAAGCACCGGCUAACUCCGUGCCAGCAGCCGCGGUAAUACGGAGGGUGCGAGCGUUGUCCGGAUUUAUUGGGUUUAAAGGGUGCGUAGGUGGCUUUUUAAGUCAGUGGUGACAUACAGCCGCUCAACGGUUGAUGUGCAAUUGAUACUGAAGAGCUUGAGGCAAGUAGAGGCUGCCGGAAUGGAUGGUGUAGCGGUGAAAUGCGUAGAUAUCAUCCAGAACACCGAUUGCGAAGGCAGAUGGCUACGUUUGAUUUGACGCUGAGGCACGAAAGCAUGGGGAGCAAACA